UCUUUGUUGCAGAGAUAAAGAAGUUGAUGAUCAUCAGUGAGCUGGGUUCUAACAGACAGCCAGAGACGGUGAUCAAGAUCUUCUCCGCUAUGCAGAAGAUUCUGUGCAUGGGAAGAAGAAUGCUUUCAGCCAACAACAAACCAUCGCCGACCGUAUCAUUCAGAAGAUAGGACAUCGCUCCAGCGAAAAUGGGAUGACGCUCCAAAGGAGAAGAAGUCACAAUGCUCUAUCUUGAUCUUUUUCAGAUAUUUGCUUAUGCCGGUAAAGGUCCACAUUCCAAUGGUUAAAAGUCAGUAUCACUUCAUACCUAGCCUGAUCCCAGAUCUGUUUGUGCUCUUGACAAACCCAUUGCUCAUUGGCGUGACAAUGUGACAAGGAGUUGGCAUGACAGCACAAACAGACUGGCACUCAGGCUACUUCAAACCCAUUGUGAACCAACAGUCUUGUGUUGAUGUCAGAGUUUACAAUGCCAAGCAGCCUCAUGUCUUCAAUCCACAAGGGGCAUUAUAUAAAAACUUGAAUUGUGUGUUUCCAUACUAAAUGUUCAUGGUUUUCCCAUGUGUAUUAAUGUGUAGGCCUACUGGUAUGUCACGUUCUGACCUUAGUUCCUUUAUUAUGUCUUUGUUUUAGUUUGGUCAGGGCGUGAGUUGGGGUGGGUAGUCUAUGUUCUUUUUUCUAUGUUGUGGUUUUGUGUUUGGCCUGGUAUGGUAUGGUUCUCAAUCAGAGGCAGGUGUCGUUCGUUGUCUCUGAUUGAGAAUCAUACCUAGGUAGCCUUUUCCCACCUGUGUUUUGUGGGUGAUUAUUUUCUGUUUAGUGUUUCUGUUUUAGUUUUCGUUUAUUUCACGUUGUUAUUUUGUAUUUUCAGUGUUCAGUAAAAUAAACAUCAUGAACA